rnacentral:rRNA from 1 species
GACGAACGCUGGCGGCGUGCUUAACACAUGCAAGUCGAGCGGUAAGGCCCUUUCGGGGGUACACGAGCGGCGAACGGGUGAGUAACACGUGGGUGACCUGCCCUUAGCUCUGGGAUAAGCCUGGGAAACUGGGUCUAAUACCGGAUAUGACUCCAUGACGCAUGUUGUGGGGUGGAAAGCCUUGUGCGGCUAGGGAUGGGCCCGCGGCCUAUCAGCUUGUUGGUGGGGUGAUGGCCUACCAAGGCGACGACGGGUAGCCGGCCUGAGAGGGCGACCGGCCACACUGGGACUGAGACACGGCCCAGACUCCUACGGGAGGCAGCAGUGGGGAAUCUUGCGCAAUGGGCGAAAGCCUGACGCAGCGACGCCGCGUGGGGGA